ensembl:lncRNA
GGCACACACAGAGUACUUCUCUUGAACCCAUGCUAAAAUCUGCAUAGAAAUCCAGACACAACUUCACGAGGAUCCAGGCCAAGAAGAAUAACUCACCCAAGAAAAUGUCAUCUGAAAACCCACAACCAGACGACAACACCCUUACUUUUCAGCUAAUUCGGGCACCCCACUCCCUGGGAGGUUUUGUAAAAUGUAUAUGAAGAAACUAACUCAAAUUUAAUUUUGACACAUUUUAAUAUUUGGCAUCUUUUUGAAGAAUAAAGUUAAAAGAUUAAAUUACAAUUAAAUGUUCUGACAAAUUCAAUCAGUUAACGAUUUCAACUUAAAACAACACGGUACUGUAUGAAUGUAAGAAAAUGCAUAGCACCUCAUGUCUCCUUAUUUCCAGCAACUACAGUCUGCCAUUGUUUCUCCUAGUCAACAGGUAGUAUGAACAUUCCAUAAGCUUGGGGCAGUAUUAAGACUCAGAAUCCCCUCAUAAUAGUCCAUAUUGGUACAGUAUUUUCAGAGUCUACAAAGCCCUUUCAGAAGCACCUUUUCAGUAAAUCCACUAAACCCCAUGAAGUAUGAUCCAUUUUACAAUGAAACCUAGAAUGGUGGUGAUCUUCAUCCACCUAGUACUUGCUUAGUAUGUACUAUGUUAGGCAACCUGCGGACUGAGGACGGCCCCUGCUUUUGAGGAGUUUUCAGUUCAGUGGGAGAGACACAGAAAUUGAGGAGGAAGCACAGGGCGGUUUGAGCUUUGAGAGAUGCACACACACAGCGCCGUGAGAAACAAGGAGUCCCCUUCACUGGGAUGUGUGUGGGAAAGCUUUGCCAAGCAAGGUACUGGGGCACAGGCCAGGAGGUAUGUGGGAAGAGGGGCUGACCAAAGUGUUGGCAGCAUGUACGAAGCAAAAACAGUGGCAUCUGAGGAGAGACAUUUAUUCCCUGGUUUCUGAACUACUUGAGUAGCUCCAAGUGCGGGGCUUGUGUGGAGAGAUGAGGGCCCCCAGACAGCAAAGUCCUUCCCCUCAAGGAGCUUGAUUCUAAAGGCAGAAGUGACAAUAAAAACGCAAAUCAAGUGAUGGGAGGGCUGCAGAGUGCUGAGUACUGUGAAGGCAAUAACUCUGGGCAGGGAGCAAGAGAACCUGGGAGAAGUGGAUUUUGGAGACGGCAGUCAGGGAGGAUUUGGAGAAAGCACCUAACAUGCGUGAAAGAAUGGGAGUCCAGGUAAACAGCAAGUGCAACGACAUGCACAGGUUAAGGCUGGCAGCUCUCAAAAAACAGAAAGGAGGCCAGGGAGGCUGGAGCACAGGAAGGACAGUGAUGGAGUGGGUGAUGGAGGUGGGCAUGGAGUAUUGCGGGUCUUGUGGGAGAUGACAAGCAACUCACAUUUAAACUUAGUGGAACACGGAGCCUUUGCAGGAUUGGAAGGGAGGUAGCAGGGACACUGUUUAAUUUACAUUUCUAAAGGAUAACUUAGGAGGCAUUAUGGAGAAUGAAUUAUUGAGUCAGGAGUAGGAAUAAUAACAAUUAGGAGGUACUGCUGGAAUCUAGGUGAGAGACUGGGUGGCAGGCACGAGGAGAGAAAUGGCUGGGUCUGAGACAGCAGGAGGAACUGACAGGACCUCCCAAAGGCUUAGAUACAGAGGUGCGGGUAAGGAAGAAAUUAAGGAAUAACUCCCAGCAACUGGCACACGAUGCCACCCUGACAUGGAAUCUAAGCAACAGGGCCAUUCAAGAGCUCUCGGAAAUCUUCAGCCUAAGGUUCUUAUCAGACAUUCAAGUGAAGAUAGUCUAAGGCAGGAGCUCUGCGGAGAGGUCAAAG